UACGUAGGCAGCGAGCGUUGUUCGGAAUUACUGGGCGUAAAGAGUGUGUAGGCGGUGCUCUAAGUUCGGUGUGAAAUCUCCUGGCUCAACUGGGAGGGUGCGCCGGAAACUGGAGUGCUUGAGCGUGGGAGAGGAAAGCGGAAUUCCUGGUGUAGCGGUGAAAUGCGUAGAUAUCGGGAGGAACACCUGUGGCGAAAGCGGCUCACUGGACCACAACUGACGCUGAGGCGCGAAAGCGUGGGGAGCAAACAGG
rnacentral:rRNA from 1 species